rnacentral:rRNA from 1 species
AACGAACGCUGGCGGCAGGCUUAACACAUGCAAGUCGAACGCCCCGCAAGGGGAGUGGCAGACGGGUGAGUAACGCGUGGGAACAUACCCUUUCCUGCGGAAUAGCUCCGGGAAACUGGAAUUAAUACCGCAUACGCCCUACGGGGGAAAGAUUUAUCGGGGAAGGAUUGGCCCGCGUUGGAUUAGCUAGUUGGUGGGGUAAAGGCCUACCAAGGCGACGAUCCAUAGCUGGUCUGAGAGGAUGAUCAGCCACAUUGGGACUGAGACACGGCCCAAACUCCUACGGGAGGCAGCAGUGGGGAAUAUUGGACAAUGGGCGCAAGCCUGAUCCAGCCAUGCCGCGUGAGUGAUGAAGGCCUUAGGGUCGUAAAGCGCUUUCACCGAUGAAGAUAAUGACGGUAGUCGGAGAAGAAGCCCCGGCUAACUUCGUG